GUAAGCGUGCGCAGGCGGUUUUGUAAGACUGUCGUGAAAUCCCGGGCUCAACCUGGGAAUGGCGAUGGUGACUGCAAGGCUAGAGUUUGGCAGAGGGGGGUAGAAUUCCACGUGUAGCAGUGAAAUGCGUAGAUAUGUGGAGGAACACCGAUGGCGAAGGCAGCCCCCUGGGUCAAAACUGACGCUCAUGCACGAAAGCGUGGGGAGCAAACAGGAUUAGAUACCCCAGU
rnacentral:rRNA from 1 species